AACGUAGGACGCAAGCGUUAUCCGGAGUUACUGGGCGUAAAGCGCGGGCAGGCGGUCUUGCCAGUCUGAUGUGAAAUCUCUCAGCUCAACUGGGAGCAGCCAUUGGAAACUACAAGACUGGAGUCUGGCAGAGGUAGGCGGAAUUCCGGGUGGAGUGGUGAAACGCGUAGAGAUCCGGAGGAACACCAGAGGCGAAGGCGGCCUACUGGGCCAGUACUGACGCUGAGCCGCGAAAGCCAGGGGAGCGAACGGG
rnacentral:rRNA from 1 species